rnacentral:rRNA from 1 species
GACAGAGGUGCCAAGCGUUAGGCGGAAUCACUGGGCUUAAAGCGCGUGUAGGUGGGUCGUUAAGUGUCCGCGUGAAAUCCCUCGGCUUAACCGGGGAACUGCGUCUGAUACUGGAUGGCUUGAGGUUGGGAGAGGGAUGCGGAAUUCCAGGUGUAGCGGUGAAAUGCGUAGAUAUCUGGAGGAACACCGGUGGCGAAGGCGGCAUCCUGGACCAAUUCUGACGCUGAGGAGCGAAAAGCCAGGGGGAGCAAACGGG